UCAGAGUUUCUUUGCCAGAGAACCUGUUGUCAUCACUCACCCGUGUGAAACCCUCAGAUUUAUUAGUUUCUAGCAGCUGUUUGGAUUUGGUAGAGAGAUAGGAGAAUUGCAGCUAACAUUCCCCUAAACAGCAAAGCACUACACAGAUACAUUCUACGUUGACUGAGUGGAAAGUUCAGGUCCUAUAUGUUGGGAUACACACACAAAGGACCAGCACAGUUAAAGUUGCAAAAGCUAAGCAGGAAUUGGAAGCAAAGAAGUUAGGGUUAUCUACAACUCGCCGAAGACGCAAACCCCACCACUGAAGACACUAGAAGAACUGUGAUGCUCAGGAUGCCGCAAUAACAAAUUCUAUCAGAUGUGUGGAAUAAGCUGUGACGCCAGGAGAUCUGUAAGCACUGACAAGUUCAGAGAGGAACAGCAACAGCUAAUCUGCUCAGUUUUUGAAGUUGGGGAAUUAUGCUUUAAAUUAAAGAAGAUUUAUGAAG